rnacentral:rRNA from 1 species
GGGUCAGUAGGUUGGUCGUGCCACCGGUACGUACUGGUCUCACUGAUUCCUUCUUCCUGAAGAAUCGUAAUGCCAUUAAUUUGGUGUUGCGGGGAAACAGGACUGUUACUUUGAAAAAAUUAGAGUGUUUAAAGCAAGCUAACGCUUGAAUACAUUAGCAUGGAAUAAUGAAAUAGGACGAUCGAUCCUAUUUUGUUGGUUUCUAGGAUUGACGUA